CCAGGAGUGGAGCCUGCGGCUUA
rnacentral:ncRNA from 5 species